CAAUAGCGUAUAUUUAAGUUGUUGCAGUUAAAAAGCUCGUAGUCGGAUUUUGGCUGAGAACGAACGGUCCGCCGUUAGGUGUGCACUGUUUGGUCUCAGCUUCCUGGUGAGGAGGUGUGCUUCACAGCCACUUAGUCACCGUGGUUACUUUGAAAAAAUUAGAGUGUUCAAAGCGGGCUUACGCUUGAAUAUAUUAGCAUGGAAUAACACCAUAGGACUCCUGUCCUAUUUCGUUGGUCUCGGGACGGGAGUAAUGAUUAAGAGGAACAGUUGGGGGCAUUCGUAUUUCAUUGUCAGAGGUGAAAUUCUUGGAUUUAUGAAAGACGAACUUCUGCGAAAGCAUUUGCCAAGGAUGUUUUCAUUGA
rnacentral:rRNA from 1 species